rnacentral:rRNA from 1 species
UACGAAGGGGGCUAGCGUUGUUCGGAAUUACUGGGCGUAAAGGGCGCGUAGGCGGCCAGUCAAGUGGAAGGUGAAAUCCCUCGGCUUAACCGAGGAACUGCCUUCCAGACUGUUUGGCUUGAGACCAGGAGAGGUGAGUGGAAUUCCCAGUGUAGCGGUGAAAUGCGUAGAUAUUGGGAGGAACACCAGUGGCGAAGGCGGCUCACUGGACUGGUACUGACGCUGAGGCGCGAAAGCGUGGGGAGCAAACGGG